AAACCGGAGGAAGGUGGGGAUGACGUCAAGUCCUCAUGGCCCUUAUGGGUAGGGCUUCACACGUCAUACAAUGGUCGGAACAGAGGGUCGCCAACCCGCGAGGGGGAGCUAAUCCCAGAAAACCGAUCGUAGUCCGGAUUGCACUCUGCAACUCGAGUGCAUGAAGCUGGAAUCGCUAGUAAUCGCGGAUCAGCAUGCCGCGGUGAAUACGUUCCCGGGUCUUGUACACACCGCCCGUCACACCAUGGGAGUGGGUUUUACCAGAAGUGGCUAGUCUAACCGCAAGGAGGACGGUCACCACGGUAGGAUUCAUGACUGGGGUGAAGUCGUAACAAGGUAGCCGUAUCGGAAGGUGCGGCUGGAUCACCUCCUUUC
rnacentral:rRNA from 1 species